GCAUUGUCAUUGCAUUCUCUAUAAUCCUAUACUGCUUGCCAUCCAUACACUAGAUGGAUUUGCUGGCUUUUACAAAGAAGUCUACCACAAGCACAUAGGCUCUGGAUCAAUAUGUAUUUGGAUCAGUCACGAUCCUUUUGACCCGUUGGUAUUGAGAAAAUGGAAUAGCCUUCUUGACAGCUGGGGGAUGACUACUAGUAUAGAAAAUCAUGUUUGGCUGCAAGUCUGAAAAAAAUCUCACCAUAAUUGAACAGACCAGAAAUUUGAUAUGAAGCUCAAAAUGUAAAAAAGUAACCAUUUUUCAAUCGAAGGGAUAACAUACCCCGAACAGUGAGUAUAC